UAACUGACGAUACGGCAAUAU
ensembl:piRNA 21ur-2187 ncRNA